rnacentral:rRNA from 1 species
UACGUAGGGUGCGAGCGUUAAUCGGAAUUACUGGGCGUAAAGCGUGCGCAGGCGGUGAUGCAAGACCGAUGUGAAAGCCCCGGGCUCAACCUGGGAACUGCAUUGGUGACUGCAUCGCUGGAGUAUGGCAGAGGGGGGUGGAAUUCCACGUGUAGCAGUGAAAUGCGUAGAUAUGCGGAGGAACACCGAUGGCGAAGGCAAUCCCCUGGGCCUGCACUGACGCUCAUGCACGAAAGCGUGGGGAGCAAACAGG